rnacentral:misc_RNA from 1 species
GUAACAAGGUCUCCGUUGGUGAACCAGCGGAGGGAUCAUUACCGAGUUUACAACUCCCAAACCCAAUGUGAACGUUACCAAUCUGUUGCCUCGGCGGGAUUCUCUGCCCCGGGCGCGUCGCAGCCCCGGAUCCCAUGGCGCCCGCCGGAGGACCAACUCAAACUCUUUUUUCUCUCCGUCGCGGCCUACGUCGCGGCUCUGUUUUAUUUUUGCUCUGAGCCUUUCUCGGCGACCCUAGCGGGCGUCUCGAAAAUGAAUCAAAACUUUCAACAACGGAUCUCUUGGUUCUGGCAUCGAUGAAGAACGCAGCGAAAUGCGAUAAGUAAUGUGAAUUGCAGAAUUCAGUGAAUCAUCGAAUCUUUGAACGCACAUUGCGCCCGCCAGUAUUCUGGCGGGCAUGCCUGUCCGAGCGUCAUUUCAACCCUCGAACCCCUCCGGGGGGUCGGCGUUGGGGAUCGGCCCCUCACCGGGCCGCCCCCGAAAUACAGUGGCGGUCUCGCCGCAGCCUCUCCUGCGCAGUAGUUUGCACACUCGCACCGGGAGCGCGGCGCGGCCACAGCCGUAAAACACCCCAAACUCUGAAAUGUUGACCUCGGAUCAGGUAGGAAUACCCGCUGAACUUAAGCAUAUC